UACGUAGGGUGCAAGCGUUGUCCGGAAUUAUUGGGCGUAAAGAGCUCGUAGGCGGUUUGUUGCGUCGGCUGUGAAAUCCCGAGGCUCAACCUCGGGUCUGCAGUCGAUACGAGCAAACUAGAGUGUUGCAGGGGAGACUGGAAUUCCUGGUGUAGCGGUGAAAUGCGCAGAUAUCAGGAGGAACACCGAUGGCGAAGGCAGCUCACUGGGACGGUACUGACGCUGAGGCGCGAAAGCGUGGGGAGCGAACAGG
rnacentral:rRNA from 1 species